rnacentral:rRNA from 1 species
AACGAACGCUAGCGGGAUGCUUUACACAUGCAAGUCGAACGAGUGGCGGACGGGUGAGUAAUAUAUCGGAACGUGCCCAGUCUCGGGGGCUAACUACUCGAACGCGUGGCUAAUACCGCAUACUAUUGGAGCGGCCGAUAGGGGAUUAGCGAGUUGGUGGGGUAAAGGCUACCCAAGGCAACGCUCCGUAGCUGGUUUGAGAGGCCGACCAGCCACACGGGGACGGAGACACGGCCCAGACUCCUACGGGAGGCAGCAGUGGGGAAUGUUGGACAAUGGAGGAAACCCUGAUCCAGCCAUCCCGCGUGUAUGAGAAGGCCUUCGGGUUGUAAAGUACUUUUGGCAGAGAAGCGGUAUCUGCAGAAUAAGCACCGGCUAACUACGUGCCAGCAGCCGCGGUAAUAC